rnacentral:rRNA from 1 species
CCAAUAGCGUAUAUUACAGUUGUUGCAGUUAAAAAGCUCGUAGUUGAACUUCGGGGUCUACCCAUUGGUCAGGCUUAAUUGUCUGCACUGGUGAGAUGGAUCUCUACCUUCUGAGGAACUUUCAUGCCAUUUAUUUGGUGUGAUUGGAAAUCCGGACUGUUACUUUGAAAAAAUUAGAGUGUUUACAGCAGACUAUCGUCUGAAUACAUUAGCAUGGAAUAAUGAAAUAGGACGGACUGAUUCUAUUUCGUUGGUUUCUAGGAUCACCGUAAUGAUUAAUAGGGAUAGUUGGGGGCAUUAGUAUUCAAUUGUCAGAGGUGAAAUUCUUGGAUGUAUUGAAGACUAACUACUGCGAAAGCAUUUGCCAAGGAUGUUUUCAUUAAUCAAGAACGAAAGUUAGGGGAUCGAAGACGAUCAGAUACCGUCGUAGUCUUAACCAUAAACUAUGCCGACUAGGGAUCGGACGAAGUUAAUUUUAUAAUGACGCGUUCGGCACCUUACG